AAGAGACAGCAGUCGCCACGGUAACACGGAGGGGGCAAGCGUUAUCCGGAAUUAUUGGGCGUAAAGGGUACGUAGGCGGCCUUUUAAGCGUAGGGUAUAAGGCAAUGGCUCAACCAUUGUUCGCCCUAUGAACUGGAAGGCUUGAGUGCAGGAGAGGAAAGCGGAAUUCCUAGUGUAGCGGUGGAAUGCAUAGAUAUUAGGAGGAACAUCAGCGGCGAAGGCGGCUUUCUGGACUGCAACUGACACUGAGGUACGAAAGCGUGGGGAGCAAACAGGAUUAGAUACCCGAGUAGUCCCUGUCUCUUAUACA
rnacentral:rRNA from 1 species